GGCGCGACUGUCCUCCUCUUGCUGGUCAUUCGCCGUCAUUGAAAACAUCUGACCGGAUUAGCAGCGGAGACGAUGCUAAGUUCGGGCCGAACUUCACAGACUACCUGAAUUCAGGAUUUGGGGCGGGAUGUUUGUUUGCCGCCCAUCUCGGGGUAGUUGUUAUUUGGUAACAGCCAUAGUUAUUUCAUACUGUUUGUUAUAAGGAUAUUUCCGUCGGACGCCGCGGGUUGGUAAAAUGCGGCCUGAAAGCGAAGCAGAGAUUCCAAAGCUAGAGAGGGCAGAGGGCGCCUGGAGGAGGGGGGGGACCUGGGCUGCGCGUCGUGGAUUCCCCCCCCCCCCGGAACCUUUAAGGCCAGUUUCUUUCUCCCAGCCCAGCCUGUCUCCGGACGCCUCCUGCCCGUGGCCUUUUCAAGCUUGCGGCAGAUGUUGCCGUUAUGGGCUCAUUUUCACCUAAAAGACGGUGGGAGGGGGCGGGGGCAUCUUUCCCCACGCUUGGACCGGGGCCAGUCACCCGGCCGCAGGGAGCAGGAGCCCCCCCGCGCCCUCCAGUGCUUCCGCGGGUGACGGGGGGGGCCGCCCGGGCGGCCUUGACCGCUCCCGCUCUCGGGGUUUCGGCCAGAGCGAGCGCGCGCCGCCCGGCUUGGCCCAGGCCGAGAGAGGCAGGCCCCCGAAGGCGCGCGCCGGGAGGGGGCGGAGGAGGAGGAGAAAGGUCGCCCGGUCCCUGCCCCACCCGGCUGGUCGCUCUCCGUCCGCGAAGGCCGCCAGUGCCCUUGGCUCAAAUCUCGAACCCGACGACAAACCCAGCCCUCCGGAUGCAGCAGCUGCGGUUUCGAUCCGGGUUUAGCCCGCUUUCCAUUCCGACGCUCUGAAAUUGUCCACUCCCCCCCCCGCCCAAGAACUGCCGGUCUCUACCUUCUCCCCCCUGGCUCCGGAGGAGCUCCACGGAAUCCCAGCUGCCCCAAGAGUCUCCUCCGGCCCUCUUUCCCCCGAAGAGGGCAGGGCCUGCAACCGGAGGACCCCCGACAGCUGCAUGGGGAGGGGACCAACGAGGGAGGCGUGGGGGGAGUCCUGGGGGGGGCGCCCUAAGGGGACAGUCCGAGAGCACCACGUCUGCCCCCUCCCACCCGGCAGGUACCAGCCACUCAGGAAGUUCUGGGGCCACCAGACAGACCCCUCCAAGGGGAUCCAGGGGUGCCAGUCCCACCCUGAGGCGCCGAGGAGAGGGAGUGAGCAAGUCUGAGCACUGACGAAAGCAGCUCCAGGGAAGCUUCUUGCCAAUCUUCAAGACUGGAGGGUGUUUCACCGAGAAAGUAGGUCAUGUCCUCCUUGCCCAGCCUGUUAACGAAACAUCUGCAAGGCAACAACCAAGAACACGAGGAACCCCUUCAGUUCAGCCCUGAGUUGCAGAUGUUCUCUGCCACAGAGCGUUUUUUCCCCCUGCCACCUGUGUGUUCUCUGGCAGGGGGGGUGAGACCACCGGUGCAAGACAGGACAUGCCAGAAUUCAUGUCAGUGGAAUAGAGCUGUUCGUAAUGGUGCUGAGAGAAGGGCUUCUUCUGCCACCGGGAGGGCAGCAGGCAGAAGCUGAGCUGGGCCUUUCCAGCCAGAGAAGCUUGACCCUCUUCGGAAUAAGCAGCCCAGGGCAGCCCUGCCUUUCCCAGCGCAAUGCCAGGUAAACAGGAAAAGUUUCCAAGAUAUUCCGGGCCCUAAAUUUAGGCCCUGAUAAGAGCCAUUGUUUCUGUCAUCAGAGUUUCCUGUGACCUGAGUUGUGUUUUCCUCUGAGGGAAAAGGAUAAGCGGAGACACCCUGGUGGCUGAUGGCCGAAGAGCCGGAUCUCCCUUAUCCUGACCUGACGGUCCUGCAGCAGAGACCCAGAGGGAACCGGGUCCUCCCGAGAGCACAGGCCAAAGGUUCCUCCCACAGGUUCACUGACACCCAGGAACUGGCCACGCCAGCUUCUGCACGGAGCCUGGCCGAAUUCCCAGGGAAGGCAAGACGCCCCUUCAGGAAGACAGGGGAGGAAGCCACCAGAGGGUGGAAAAGAUCAGCAAUGGA